AUUAUUCAACAUCACAACCACUUCAUUUUAAUCAUUCUAGCUUCACUCACAUCUACUCUCUAAACAUCAUGAGUGACCCUAAAUAUGCUUACCCUUACCCUGCUCAAGGCGGAUAUUAUCAAGGGCCACCAGUGAUGGCACCUCCACAAUAUGCCGCGCCACCCCCCAGAAGAGAACCCGGUUUCCUAGAAGGCUGUCUGGCUGCUCUGUGUUGCUGCUGUCUUCUGGACGAGUGUUGCUGUGACCCAACCAUUAUCUUUUACUAAAAUAUAUAUCAUCUGAUCUAUAUCAGCUUUUCGGUCACUACUUACAAGUUACUAUAUGUAGAAUUUGUAUUGUUCUUAGAAUUUCAUAAAAACAAUGUACUAUUAAUUAUCUUAUUUCUGAUGUCACUUAAUGUACUCGAAACCAACAACUCCACUACUA